UUCGUGUAUUGCUACGUGUCUGGCUCCACUGGGCCGCCUCCACCGGCGCCAGGCGUAGGCCAAGGAAACUGCCAGGAUCCCCCAGGGCUGCCAGCUCACCGGCUGGCAGGGGUGUCCCUCCCGCUUGUCACACAGGGUCACUCGGCUGCUGUUUAUGUACCCAGGAUACAGACGAAAGAGACAGGAUCUGUGCUCAUGGGAACAAACGCACUCAGCACAAGCCAUAGACCAAGAGCUAGUGUGGCAUUGGUAGGAAGUUACUGUGGCCUGACAGACACCGCUCCUUCACAAAGUGGUAGAUGGACUUAAUAGUACCAGUCCUGGAGAUCAUCAUCUGUCAAAGGCCUCAUUGGCCACCAGGGCAAAUCUGUCUGGAUCAAUGCUUAUGACUCCGAAAACCAUAUAGAGACGUUUGCCAAGAGGAAAUGGUCUGUUCUCAAGUACAGAUGAGAGCUGAGGGUCCAUGAAGAUGCCCAGGAUGAUGAUGGCAUCCCCAGUGCACAGAACAGGGAUGGUGGCAUAUCUGGAGAGACUCUCACCAUGAAACUGCAGAGGGAGGGACAGUCACUCACCUUCUGCCUUGCACCCAAGGUCACUGAACAUUGGUAGCCAUAGUAAAUAAGGGGACAGAAGGAGCAAAUCUGCUAACGUUCCUCCUGGACUUUCUGAAAGAUGAGGGGCCACCUAGGACCAUUGAAGCCAUCCAAGCCAACCUACCUCAUGGUAAUUUACAUAAAGGACUCAUAAUGCAUUACUUCAUGGGAACAUUUUCUUUCUUUUUUUUUUUUUUGUUUUGUGAUCUAAUAUAUUUCAACCUAGACUUUAUAUUGUUAUAUUACGUUCUUUCAUUUAAUUAAUUAAAAUAUAACUUAUUGUCAAAUUGGCUAAUA